GCAGAAGUGAGAACAUAAUGUCAAGCAUAUCAGUCUCUACAGGCAUUUGUAUGAGCUAUCAAAACCCAAGGCGGCCCAGAAAUGUUACAGAAACAUCAAACGCUGCUUUAAAUGCAAAACAGGUAAGUGGAAAUCAUGCGGUUCCAUUUACAUAUGAACCAUGUACUUCUUGAAGGAGUCUCUAAAGUGCUUUUUCUGCUGUGUAAAAUGUGAUGGCAGUCAGAGUCCGGCGCUCCUCGAGAGCUGAAUUUGGUUCCAUCCUGAUGUCGAGACUCACUGGUGCGUUGAUGAAAGGCGUAAAAAGCAGCCUUGAGCUGCAGGAUGGGACACAACAACAACAAUGCAACUAACCACGAGUAUCCAAAAAGCAGACUAUUCCUAACCUGAGGCGUUUAACAGCCAGGAUUUUCGACAGCUGUUUAUGCUGUGUAUAUCCCUUGUGUUCUCUAAUGGGGUCCAGAUGACCCCACUCCUAUUUUGAUAUGUGGUGCCUCCCAUGACAAAGGUGGACAGGGUUUUAUGUCUGCCACGGACACCAGUGAAGAUAAAAAAUAAGUUCAGCGCGCUGUCUUGUGGGGUCCAGAUGACCCCACUUUUACAUGAACCCAGUGAAACAGGAAAAAUCACAACUACUAUAUUCAUCACUGAAACUGCAGAUAUAUUUAUGUGAUGGGUGACACCUGGGAGGUGUGGCUCUGCCAUUAAGGCCCUUUAAAUGGGAAGGGGCGGGGCUACCCAGCAGUGCCAGAUUCUGGUGGGUGACUACUGGGCCCACGCUGAUUGUGUGGCAGACAUGAGCCAAUUUGGGCUUUGGUGUCACAAAGCAGACCUACAGGGAGAAUGACUGGGUGUGGGUGCUGGAUACCACAGGGGAAGAAAAAAAGCUUUUUAAAGGAUGUUAAAAUAAGUGAAAACUGUCAAGAGCACAACCUCAGUAUCGGUUCCAUGAAAGCCUCCAAUCUGCAGUCCAACUGGGACGGAUAUAAAGACUGGAUAAAUACCACAUGAAGAGAAGCUUUUAAGUCAUUUCCACAACUGCAAUCGUACACUGUAAGUAAUAUUUAUCCCCAACAGCAAUUAUUGA